rnacentral:rRNA from 1 species
AUGUGGUUAAUUCGAUGCAACGCGAAGAACCUUACCUGGUCUUGACAUCCCGGAGACCCUUAGGAAACUAGGGGGUGCUUCCAUCUGGAAGAAUCUGGAGACAGGUGCUGCAUGGCUGUCGUCAGCUCGUGUCGUGAGAUGUUGGGUUAAGUCCCGCAACGAGCGCAACCCUUGCCUUUAGUUGCCAGCAGUUCGGCUGGGCACUCUAAAGGGACUGCCGGGUGUUAAACCGGAGGAAGGUGGGGAUGACGUCAAGUCCUCAUGGCCUUUAUGACCAGGGCUACACACGUACUACAAUGGCCGAUACAAAGGGCAGCGACACUGCGAGGUGAAGCCAAUCCCGUAAAAUCGGUCUCAGUCCGGAUUGGAGUCUGCAACUCGACUCCAUGAAGUUGGAAUCGCUAGUAAUCGUGGAUCAGCAUGCCACGGUGAAUACGUUCCCGGGCCUU